GGACUACCAGGGUUUCUAAUCCUGUUUGCUCCCCACGCUUUCGCGCCUCAGCGUCAGUUACAGACCAAAGAGUCGCCUUCGCCACUGGUGUUCCUCCACAUCUCUACGCAUUUCACCGCUACACGUGGAAUUCCACUCUUCUCUUCUGUACUCAAGUCCCCCAGUUUCCAAUGACCCUCCACGGUUGAGCCGUGGGCUUUCACAUCAGACUUAAAGGACCGCCUGCGCGCGCUUUACGCCCAAUAAUUCCGGACAACGCUUGCCACCUACGUAUUACCGCGGCUGCUGGCAC
rnacentral:rRNA from 1 species